GAAGGUUAAGGGGAUCUGUUAGAGCAAUCGAAGCAGUGAACUUAAGCCCCAGUAAACGGCGGCCGUAACUAUAACGGUCCUAAGGUAGCGAAAUUCCUUGUCGGGUAAGUUCCGACCCGCACGAAAGGCGUAACGAUUUGGGCACUGUCUCAACAACAGACUCGGUGAAAUUGUAAUUCCGGUGAAGAUGCCGGAUACCUGCGACAGGACGGAAAGACCCCAUGGAGCUUUACUGUAGCUUGACAUUGGGUCUUGGUACUACAUGUACAGGAUAGGUGGGAGGCUUUGAAACCAGGACGCCAGUUUUGGCGGAGCCAUCCUUGGGAUACCACCCUUGUAGUACUGGGACUCUAACCAUAGGCCAUGAAUCUGGUCUUGGGACACUGUCAGGUGGGCAGUUUGACUGGGGCGGUCGCCUCCCAAAAGGUAACGGAGGCGCUCAAAGGUUCUCUCAGUACGGUCGGAAAUCGUACGUAGAGUGUAAAGGCAAAAGAGAGCUUGAUUGCAAGACAUACAGGUCGAGCAAGGAUGAAAAUCGGACUUAGUGAUCCGGUGGUUCUGCGUGGAAGGGCCAUCGCUCAACGGAUAAAAGCUACCCUGGGGAUAACAGGCUUAU
rnacentral:rRNA from 1 species